CAGCUCGUGGUGGUGGGGCAGCAGCUCCUGGCCCUCCUGCUGGCAGCAGCGCAGCGUGUGCUCGCGCUCCUCGGCCUGCUGCGUCAGGGUGCCGAUCUCC